rnacentral:rRNA from 1 species
GACGAACGCUGGCGGCGUGCCUAAUACAUGCAAGUAGAACGCUGAAGGAGGAGCUUGCUUCUCUGGAUGAGUUGCGAACGGGUGAGUAACGCGUAGGUAACCUGCCUGGUAGCGGGGGAUAACUAUUGGAAACGAUAGCUAAUACCGCAUAAGAGUAGAUGUUGCAUGACAUUUGCUUAAAAGGUGCAAUUGCAUCACUACCAGAUGGACCUGCGUUGUAUUAGCUAGUUGGUGAGGUAACGGCUCACCAAGGCAACGAUACAUAGCCGACCUGAGAGGGUGAUCGGCCACACUGGGACUGAGACACGGCCCAGACUCCUACGGGAGGCAGCAGUAGGGAAUCUUCGGCAAUGGACGGAAGUCUGACCGAGCAACGCCGCGUGAGUGAAGAAGGUUUUCGGAUCGUAAAGCUCUGUUGUAAGAGAAGAACGAGUGUGAGAGUGGAAAGUUCACACUGUGACGGUAUCUUACCAGAAAGGGACGGCUAACUACGUGCCAGCAGCCGCGGUAAUACGUAGGUCCCGAGCGUUGUCCGGAUUUAUUGGGCGUAAAGCGAGCGCAGGCGGUUAGAUAAGUCUGAAGUUAAAGGCUGUGGCUUAACCAUAGUACGCUUUGGAAACUGUUUAACCUGAGUGCAAGAGGGGAGAGUGGAAUUCCAUGUGUAGCGGUGAAAUGCGUAGAUAUAUGGAGGAACACCGGUGGCGAAAGCGGCUCUCUGGCUUGUAACUGACGCUGAGGCUCGAAAGCGUGGGGAGCAAACAGG